ACGCUCACAAGGGGGUGCCCUCGCGCGCAAAUGCGACGGGCUGAGAGGCGGGUUCGCCAACCCCUCGAACCUGAUCCGGGUCAUGCCGGCGGAGGGAUUGCGAGCCAUGACGCG
rnacentral:ncRNA from 2 species